GAUGAACGCUAGCGACAGGCCUAACACAUGCAAGUCGAGGGGCAGCACGGUGUAGCAAUACACGGGUGGCGACCGGCGCACGGGUGAGUAACGCGUAUGCAACCUGCCUACUACAAGGGGAUAACCCGUUGAAAGACGGACUAAUACCCUAUAACACAGGGAAUCCGCAUGGAUAUAUUUGUUAAAGAUUUAUCGGUAGUAGAUGGGCAUGCGUUCCAUUAGCUUGUUGGUGAGGUAACGGCUCACCAAGGCAACGAUGGAUAGGGGAACUGAGAGGUUGAUCCCCCACACUGGAACUGAGACACGGUCCAGACUCCUACGGGAGGCAGCAGUGAGGAAUAUUGGUCAAUGGACGAGAGUCUGAACCAGCCAAGUCGCGUGAAGGAAGACGGCCCUACGGGUUGUAAACUUCUUUGUAAGGGAAUAAAUAGUCUUACGCGCUAAGACGUUGCAGGUACCUUACGAAUAAGGAUCGGCUAACUCCGUGCCAGCAGCCGCGGUAAAAGUC
rnacentral:rRNA from 1 species